rnacentral:rRNA from 1 species
UACGAAGGGGGCUAGCGUUGCUCGGAAUUACUGGGCGUAAAGGGAGCGUAGGCGGGUUAUCAAGUUGGGGGUGAAAGCCCGGGGCUCAACCUCGGAAUUGCCUUCAAAACUGAUAACCUGGAGUAUGGAAGAGGUAAGUGGAACUCCGAGUGUAGAGGUGAAAUUCGUAGAUAUUCGGAAGAACACCAGUGGCGAAGGCGACUUACUGGUCCAUUACUGACGCUGAGGAGCGAAAGCGUGGGGAGCGAACGGG